ACAAAUCCGGCCACCAGAGACCA
rnacentral:siRNA from 1 species